ensembl:lncRNA
AUUUUUAUCUAUUCAUUACAUCACUGAGCUGGAAGCCAGUAGACCCAGGUUCCUGCCUCAUUUCCAACAUCUACUCUCUGUCUCUCUGUGUGUUCCAGCAAAUGACUUCAAUUCUUUGAGCCACAAAUUUCUCAUACAGACAACAGGACUCAUCAUGCAUAUGGUAGAAAUCAGAUGACAAAAUAAAUGACAAAUAAGAACUGGUGAGAACUCUGCAGAUUGCAGACAUGCAGACAACAACGUUCAGUAAAGGCAAGAGCAGGAGGCCUCCAGAAUAGCCCUGAUUCUACAACAAAGGAGAUCAGGGCAACUGCUUGCUGAGAGCCUGUGAUGUGUCAGGCACACCUGGGCCCUUGACAAUCAUUUUCUCACUUCACCAUCAAAAGGGCCUAGUGAGGUGAGAAUUCCUCUCCCGGUUUUGCAGAUGAAGUAACUGAGGUUCAGCUGGCAAAGGAUGGGAACAACUCUUGAGCACAAGUGUGCCUGACUCCAUCACAGCACAGCGUCCCUCCCAGCUGAGUGGGGCUGGAGAGAAAAGAGUAUCUUAGAGGCCACGGUAUCUUAGAG